AUUGAACGCUGGCGGCAGGCCUAACACAUGCAAGUCGAGCGGAUGAAGGGAGCUUGCUCCUGGAUUCAGCGGCGGACGGGUGAGUAAUGCCUAGGAAUCUGCCUGGUAGUGGGGGAUAACGUCCGGAAACGGGCGCUAAUACCGCAUACGUCCUGAGGGAGCAAGUGGGGGAUCUUCGGACCUCACGCUAUCAGAUGAGCCUAGGUCGGAUUAGCUAGUUGGUGGGGUAAAGGCCUACCAAGGCGACGAUCCGUAACUGGUCUGAGAGGAUGAUCAGUCACACUGGAACUGAGACAGGGUCCAGACUCCGACGGGAGGCAGCAGUGGGGAAUAUUGGACGAUGGGCGAAAGCCUGAUCCAGCCAAGCCGCGUGUGUGAAGAAGGUCUUCGGAUUGUAAAGCACUUUAAGUUGGGAGGAAGGGCAGUAAGUUAAUACCUUGCUGUUUUGACGGUACCAACAGAAUAAGCACCGGCUAACUUCGUG
rnacentral:rRNA from 1 species